GAAAUUGUGUUGACGCAGUCUCCAGGCACCCUGUCUUUGUCUCCAGGGGAAAGAGCCACCCUCUCCUGCAGGGCCAGUCAGAGUGUUAGCAGCAGCUACUUAGCCUGGUACCAGCAGAAACCUGGCCAGGCUCCCAGGCUCCUCAUCUAUGGUGCAUCCAGCAGGGCCACUGGCAUCCCAGACAGGUUCAGUGGCAGUGGGUCUGGGACAGACUUCACUCUCACCAUCAGCAGACUGGAGCCUGAAGAUUUUGCAGUGUAUUACUGUCAGCAGUAUGGUAGCUCACCUCGAUCACCUUCGGCCAAGGGACACGACUGGAGAUUAAACG
rnacentral:lncRNA from 1 species